rnacentral:lncRNA from 1 species
CCACCAUUAAUUCAAUAAAACAAGUAAUCAAGCAUUAAAAAAGUGAGGACAAAUCAACAUCAGUUCUCCAACCAAAAACAUCACAAUGUUUGUAAAUGAAAACAGUACAACAUCACCAAAAAAUGGGGAAAAAAAAAAGGUACUUCAAGCCUUGAGUUUAACAUGGUACUUCAACAUAACAAAAUCACAUAUUAAAACAACAGUCACAUUAAAGUAGUUCCAAGAUAGGUCCUUUCCUUGCUUCUGGCAUCUUCACAAAUGACACAUUGAAAUCCUUGAAAGCCUUUAUUGCUUUCAUGUAAAUCUCAUUGGACACCCCUUCCAUAUUGUUUAAAAUGUCCAAGCAAAUAACAUUUGAAUAAGGAUCUGGACUAGUAACUUCAUUAUCCGAUUGACAACUAUCUUUUCCUUUGAUCUUUGCAAGCUUCUCUUUUAGGUAAAGUGUUCUAAGUUCAGUUUCUUCAUUCCUCAAACUAACUGUAGAUGACCACUGUGCCAUACAGGCCUCGAGUUUAUCACUUUUACUGACUUUAGGUUCCUUACGUUGUCGUUCACCCGAUGUACCAAUUUCGUUAUGUGGACGAGUAUUUGAAACCACAUCGACUUCAUCAUCAAUUUCCGUAGUCACAUGUACUCCUCUAUUCAAAAAAUCAUUUUCUAGCUGCCUUUCUUCCUCUGAUGUGUUUGGACGCAGGGUGGAGACACUGCCUAAUCCUCCAGUAGCUGUAGUCCCGCUGAAUAUCUUCCCAAGAGUGUGGUAGUGCUUACAUCCUUCCUUCUUGAA